rnacentral:misc_RNA from 1 species
CCGAACUGUCAACACGAGUUGUUGCUGGUCCUCAAAUGGGGGCAUGUGCACGCUCUGUUUGCAUAUCCACUCACACCUGUGCACCCUCUGUAGUUCUGUAGCCUGGGGGGCUCUGUUUCCCCCCCUGCUGUGGUUCUAUGUAUUUACACACACGCCGUAACAAAGUCUCAUGGAAUGUAUGCCGCGUUCAACGCGAUACAAUA